rnacentral:lncRNA from 1 species
UGGAAUAGGUCUAACUAGAAAGAGAACCAAAUAUGUCUCUCAAUUUGAUAAGUGAAAUGAUAUUUUUACCAUCACAAAUAUAUUUUUCUAAAAAUUUCAACUGUUAAUUAAAGAGGGAUAAAAAGAUCAAUUUACUUUAUUAACUAACUAAAGUUAAGUAUUUAAUAUAUGAUUAACUAAAUUUUUCUGAUAGAUUUUAACAAUAUGGAUAUAUUGAAAAAAUUAGAAUUUUUACAAGAAUAAGUUAAAUUUUGCAAAAAUAUAUUUAUAAUUCACUAAUUUUUUUAAG